GGGAAUCGCUGCGACUUGCCGGCGCUGGGGGUCCGGUCGGUAUCGCUGAUCGCCGCGGGGAGCUCGACAGAAGCUGGAAAAUUGCUUGAUUAUGAUUGAAUCAGAACCCAGUUAUCCGGCCCGCAACUUCUGGGACAGAUGGUGACCCCCAAGAGCCGGAGGACCAUGAGCAGUUCCCCACCAGACCCCGGGCCCAUCUGAAAAGACUAACACGGCUGCUACUCUGAAACCUGUCUUUGAAGUUAUGGUUUCCCUUAGAGGGAAAGCUUCGACCUUAACAAGAUUGUGCACCUCAGAAGUGCGCUUCUGGCCAAUGUCAGUGUGAGGCAUAUUUCUAUUGGCAUGAAGAAACAGAAGGGGGGGAAAAAAACCCGGCUCCAUGAAUCUCAAAUGAGGAGUCUCAAGGACUCCCAGGAGAAACUUACAACAUGAUUAAAAAAAGAUAAAAAGAAAAAUUGGCAAAGAAUUUAAAUCCAACUAAGCCGGCAAGAACUAUUAAGCAAUGGAAGCCCCUUACAUUCACCCUUCAGACAGUGUCUCCCCAUAUUGAGGAAAUGUUCCCCUUGCGCUAGUUCCCGGGCAUUGGUGCUUCGGGUCAUGAGACCUCGGUGUCUGCACAUGCACCUUGGUCUCCUACUUGGAAUUGUAUAAUUUAUUUAAAAAUUUUCCAAAAAAUAAGAGAGGACCCUGUUAAAUUAAAAAAGAAAUUGCAAAUUGUUAUAAACUGUUAUAACCCUACAUGGGCAGAUUUAAACCAGCUUCUAUGAGGGGUCAUGCCUAGGAAAACACUGAGUUGCCUUUGUGAAAAAGCUCAGAGGCCCAAGCAAAAUCCAGGCCAUAACCAGAAAAAGUUAAAUAAAAUCAGGAAAAAGCUGCUAAAUAAAAUUCUCACCAUCUGCCCAAAGAAAGCUGACUGAAGCAAAAAUUAGCACCUGUGAACAAAGUAAAAAUAAAAAUUUAAAUAAAACCCAAAUACUCUCACCACCACAUUAAAAUUAAGUUAAUGACCUUCCAGCUCCAGAACAUACAGGAACCCCGUAAUAGCCACCCAUUGCAGGGGGAGAAGGGGAAGGCCAAACCAAGGUCCCCACCAUCCACCUCCCCUAGGAACCCAGUGAUGGCGUGUGUUACUAUUGCAAGCAAAUGGGCCAUUGGAUACAGUAAAUAUCCCUACCGCCCUGGUCGAUCCAAAAGCCCGUAAAGGUUGGCAAUACUCUUUUUCCCCACCCCGUCUCUUCACCUCUGUCCGUUUUUGUCGGUCCUUUGUUUGACCAUCAUGCUUUCCUCCUAAGUCCUUGUUCACCUGCUAACCUUUUGGGAAAAGCAUUGCUGUGUAAAUUAAAUUGUAUAAUCUGCUGUACCCCAAAUGGUGUGAUCUGGACAUGCCUGAUCCUGCUCACAAUGAGAUCCUGGCAGUUUACCUGACCAACCCCAGCCCUUCCUCGUUGCAACUGCUGGCUAAGGUCUCUCCCUCCUUGUAAGCCUUGUGAGCCGAUUUAGUUGGGGAUUGGUCCUGCCUUGAGCAGGGGGUUGGACUAGAUGACCUCCCCGUCCCUUCCAACCCUUAUAUUCUAUGAUUCUAUGAUCAUGCCGACCAGGUUCAGUGCAUUGGGUCUGCCCAACCAGUUAAGAUUCACCUAAACCCAGCAAGACCCCUUCCUGAGGUGCAGCAGUACCCUCUAUCAAAAUAGGCCAAGGAAAAAUCCAACCUGUUCUUACCUCCUGCAUUCAGCAAGGAGUCAUUAUUCCUGUGGUCAGUGAGUGUAACUCCCCCAUUUUACCGUGCUGUUGAUGCUACUGUUCUUCCUAUCUUUCCCGUUGUCCCUAGUCCUGCUACUAUCCUUUCCUGCAAAGCACCGGUGCUGAGGGGUUGUUACCGUCUCAAAUAAGAAAAAGGUUGUAUUAAGUCCAAACAUAUGUAAGCAGAGUCAGGAUGGGCUCCACCCUGACAUCUGGUGGUGAGGUGUGGCAAGUAGUGGAAAAGAACUUCAGGGGCUGAUCUCAAUUUGCAUAGGCACACCCACCCC